UACGUAGGGUGCAGGCGUUAAUCGGAACUACUGGGCGUAAAGCGUGCGCAGGCGGUUUCUUAAGUCAGAUGUGAAAGCCCCGGGCUUAACCUGGGAACUGCGUUUGAAACUGGGAGACUUGAGUGUGGCAGAGGGGGGUGGAAUUCCACGUGUAGCAGUGAAAUGCGUAGAUAUGUGGAGGAACACCGAUGGCGAAGGCAGCCCCCUGGGUUAACACUGACGCUCAUGCACGAAAGCGUGGGGAGCAAACAGG
rnacentral:rRNA from 1 species